AGCUUCUCUCUGCUGGACUGGAGAGUCCAAACUGCAACCUGGAGACUCUCAGCUUGUCAGGCUGUCUGAUCUCAGAGGAAGGCUGUGCUUCUCUGGCCUCAGCUCUGACCUUUAACCCCUCCCAUCUGAAAGAGUUGGACCUGAGCUACAAUCAUCCAGGAGACUCAGGAGUGAAGCUGCUGUCGGCUGGACUGAAGGAUCCAGACUGGAGACUGGAAACUCUCAGGGUGGAGCCUGCUGGAGGCCGAUGGUUGACACCAGGUCUGAGGAAGUAUUCCUGUCAACUCACCAUCGACACAAACACAGUGAGCAGAAAACUUGUAGCGUCUGAAGACAACAGUAAGGUGAUAUGUAUGGGGGAUUUUCAGCCAUAUCCUGAUCAUCCAGACAGAUUUGAUUGUGCUCAGCUUCUGUGUGGAACUGGUCUGACUGGUCGCUGUUACUGGGAGGUCGAGUGGACAGGAGGAGUUAAUAUAUCAGUGAGUUACAGAAGAAUCAGGAGGAAAGGAGAAAGUACAGACUGUAGGUUUGGAAAGAAUGGUCAUUCCUGGAGUCUGAGCUGCUCUGAGGGCGGUUACUACGUCUGUCACAAUAACAGAAGAACACAUCUCUCCUCCUCCUCUGUCUCUAACAGAGUAGCAGUGUAUGUGGACUGGCCUGCUGGCAUUCUGUCCUUCUACAGAGUUUCCUCUGAUUCACUGAUCCACCUCCACACCUUCAACACCACAUUCACUGAACCUCUGUAUCCUGGAUUUACAGUCUGCUUUCCUAAUUCUUUAGUUUAUCUGUGCUGAGUUGAGUCUAAAGAGUCUCCUCUGACUCAGAAACACGUUUUCAGAUUCAUGGAUUCAAUCUGUUUGUUUUUGACUCUCUUCUUAAUGAUUUCUUGGAAACUUAUUCCAGGAUUAUUCUGGAAUUAACGUAAUGUUUUUCUGUAUGUUUCCAGUAAAAUCUUCACACUGAAUAUCAUGA